CGCAGCCAGCUGCGAGACUUGGUGUGAAUUGCAGGACACAUUGAGCACUGAUUUUUCGAACGCGCAUUGCGGCCUCGGGUCCUGCCCGGGGCCUCGCCUGUCUGAGGGUCGGAUAAGACUUGCACAGGAGGCUACGCCUUCACAUGGCCGCACCGGAUCGUUCAGAUCCGCCGGCUCAAGGACCGACGGUUCCUCCCGGGCCGAGAAGCUCUUCGGAAAUCCAGCUCUGGAUAACCGCAGCGCGGCUUGGAGAAGACGCGACACAGUCAUCUCCUAUUGGCGCAGCGGACGACUCUUCCUGUAUCGCCUGGCCGUCGCGGAGACGGAAGGCGUGAGCGUUUUCCGAAUUUCGAGCGGAGAGCAUGCCCACCUUUUGAGGGAGGUCUCCUUUUUAUUUCCGAGAGGAAAGAAAAAAAAACUUACUUUUGUCGACCUCAGAUCAGACGAGAUGACCCGCUGAAUUUAAGCAUAUC
rnacentral:rRNA from 1 species